rnacentral:rRNA from 1 species
UACAUGGGGUGCAAACGUUGCUCGGAAUUAUUGGGCGUAAAGCGCACGUAGGCGGUUCGUUAAGUCGGAUGUGAAAGCCCUCGGCUCACUGAGGAAGUGCACCCGAAACUGGCGAGCUUGAGUACGAAAGAGGAUCGCGGAAUUCCCCGGUGUAGAGGUGAAAUUCGUAGAUAUCGGGUGGAACACCUGUGGCGAAGGCGGCCAUCUGGACGUUCACUGACGCUGAGACGCGAAAGCGUGGGUAGCAAACAGG